rnacentral:misc_RNA from 1 species
UAAAAAUCAAAGAACAGAUCUACGUAAAUAACAACCAGAUCUACCGCAUGGGAUUGAAAGGAAGCAUAGAUCAGCUAAAAACUUCGGCCUAGUUACCCAGAAACCGUGGGAAAACAGAUUUUCCCGUGUUUUCCCGGAAAGAAAAUAGAAACAGAGAGACAACAAGACAGCUAAAUGGAUAAAGACAAAAAAAUAUCGCAG